UACGGGGGGGGCAAGCGUUGUUCGGAAUUACUGGGCGUAAAGGGCUCGUAGGCGGCCAACUAAGUCAGACGUGAAAUCCCUCGGCUUAACCGGGGAACUGCAUCUGAUACUGGAUGGCUUGAGAUUGGGAGAGGGAUGCGGAAUUCCAGGUGUAGCGGUGAAAUGCGUAGAUAUCUGGAGGAACACCGGUGGCGAAGGCGGCAUCCUGGACCAACACUGACGCUGAGGAGCGAAAGCUAGGGGAGCAAACGGG
rnacentral:rRNA from 1 species